GUGUCAGCAGCCGCGGUAAUACGUAGGGUGCGAGCGUUAAUCGGAAUUACUGGGCGUAAAGUGUGCGCAGGCGGCCGAGCAAGUCGAGUGUGAAAGCCCCGAGCUUAACUUGGGAACUGCGCUCGAAACUACUUGGCUAGAGUGUGGCAGAGGGAGGUGGAAUUCCACGUGUAGCGGUGAAAUGCGUAGAGAUGUGGAGGAACACCGAUGGCGAAGGCAGCCUCCUGGGCCAACACUGACGCUCAUGCACGAAAGCGUGGGGAGCAAACAGGAUUAGAUACCCUGGUAGUCC
rnacentral:rRNA from 1 species